UGGGGAAUUUUGGACAAUGGGCGAAAGCCUGAUCCAGCCAUGCCGCGUGCGGGAAGAAGGCCUUCGGGUUGUAAACCGCUUUUGGCAGGAACGAAACGGCGCUCGCUAAUACCGGGCGCUAAUGACGGUACCUGCAGAAUAAGCACCGGCUAACUACGUGCCAGCAGCCGCGGUAAUACGUAGGGUGCGAGCGUUAAUCGGAAUUACUGGGCGUAAAGCGUACGCAGGCGGCUCUGUAAGCCAGGUGUG
rnacentral:rRNA from 1 species